rnacentral:rRNA from 1 species
GAUGAACGCUGGCGGCGUGCCUAACACAUGCAAGUCGAACGGAGUUGUCACCAUGAAGUUUUCGGAUGGAAUGGAGGCAACUUAGUGGCGGACGGGUGAGUAACGCGUGGGUAACCUGCCUCAUACUGGGGGAUAACAGCUGGAAACGGCUGCUAAAACCGCAUAAGAUCGCAUCACCGCAUGGUGAAGCGGUUAAAUAUCGAAAGAUAGGUAUGAGAUGGGCCCGCGUCUGAUUAGCUAGUUGGUGAGAUAAGAGCCCACCAAGGCGACGAUCAGUAGCCGGCUUGAGAGAGUGACCGGCCACAUUGGGACUGAGACACGGCCCAAACUCCUACGGGAGGCAGCAGUGGGGAAUAUUGGGCAAUGGGCGAAAGCCUGACCCAGCGACGCCGCGUGGGGGAAGAAGUCUUUCGGGAUGUAAACCCUUGUUGUACGGGACGAAGGAAGUGACGGUACCGUACGAGGAAGCCCCGGCAAACUACGUGCCAGCAGCCGCGGUAAUGAGU